rnacentral:tRNA from 1 species
GCAUUGGUGGUUCAGUGGUAGAAUUCUCGCCUGCCACGCGGGAGGCCUGGGUUCGAUUCUCGGCCAAUGCA